UGAAUACGAGAUGCUACGGCGUCGAAGCAGUGUAUGUCAGACUUCCAAGAAAAGCUCGCAAUGUCAUAAAUAAAGAAUGCCUGUACCAUAACCGACACAGGUGGGUAGGUAGAGUAUACUAAGGGGCGCGAGAUAACUCUCUCUAAGGAACUCGGCAAAAUAACUCCGUAACUUCGGGAGAAGGAGUGCCUUCUUUAAGAAGGUUGCAAUAACAAGAUCCAAGCAACUGUUUAUCAAAAACACAGGUCUCCGCUAAGUCGUAAGACGAUGUAUGGGGGCUGACGCCUGCCCAGUGCCAGAAGGUUAAAGAAGUUGGUUAGCUUUUGCGAAGCUGAUGACUGAAGCCCUGGUGAACGGCGGCCGUAACAAUAACGGUCCUAAGGUAGCGAAAUUCCUUGUCGGGUAAGUUCCGACCCGCACGAAAGGCGUAAUGAUUUGGAUACUGUCUCGGAGAGGGACUCGGUGAAAUAGACUUGUCUGUGAAGAUGCGGACUACCUGCACCGGGACAGAAAGACCCUAUGAAGCUUUACUGUAACUUGAAAUUGAAAUUGGACUUUAUUUGCGCAGUAUAGGUGGAAGGCGUUGAAAGUAAUCUUGCGGGAUUAGUGGAGCCAUCAGUGAGAUACCACUCCUAUAAUGUUAAAUUUCUAACUUUGGAUCAUGAUCUGGUCAAAGAACAGUUUCAGGCGGGCAGUUUGACUGGGGCGGUCGCCUCCCAAAUGGUAACGGAGGCGUACAAAGGUUUCCUCUGAACGGGUAGAAAUCGUAUCUAGAGUGUAAAGGCAUAAGGAAGCUUGACUGUGAGACCUACAAGUCGAGCAGGGACGAAAGUCGGUCUUAGUGAUCUGACGGUGCUGAGUGGAAAGGCCGUCACUCAACGGAUAAAAGUUACUCUAGGAUAACAGGCUGAUCUCCCCCAAGAGUUCACAUCGACGGGGAGGUUUGGCACCUCGAUGUCGGCUCAUCGCAUCCUGGGGCGGUAGUACGUCCCAAGGGUUGGGCUGUUCGCCCAUGAAAGCGGUACGCGAGCUGGGUUCAGAACGUCGUGAGACAGUUCGGUCCAUAUCCGGUGUAGGCGUUAGAAUAUUGAGAGGAGCCUUCUUUAGUACGAGAGGACCGAGAAGGACAUACCUCUGGUGUACCAGUUAUCGUGCCAACGGUAAACGCUGGGUAGCUAUGUAUGGAGAGGAUAACCGCUGAAAGCAUCUAAGUGGGAAGCCCACCUCAAGAUGAG
rnacentral:rRNA from 1 species